AAGUCGUAACAAGGUCUCCGUUGGUGAACCAGCGGAGGGAUCAUUACUGAGUACUACACUCUCUACCCUUUGUGAACUAUUAUACCUGUUGCUUCGGCGGCGCCCGCAAGGGUGCCCGCCGGUCUCGAUCAGAAUCUCUGUUUUCGAACCCGACGAUACUUCUGAGUGUUCUUAGCGAACUGUCAAAACUUUUAACAACGGAUCUCUUGGCUCCAGCAUCGAUGAAGAACGCAGCGAAACGCGAUAUGUAAUGUGAAUUGCAGAAUUCAGUGAAUCAUCGAAUCUUUGAACGCACAUGGCGCCUUCCAGUAUCCUGGGAGGCAUGCCUGUCCGAGCGUCGUUUCAACCCUCGAGCCCCUGUGGCCCGGCGUUGGGGAUCUGCCACGGCAGGCCCCUAAAACCAGUGGCGGACCCGAAGGGCCCUCUCCUUUGCGCAGUAGCAUUCGCCUCGCAUCGGGAGUCCUCGGCGUCCUGCCUCUAAACCCCCCACAAGCCCGCUUCGGCGGCACCAAGGUUGACCUCGGAUCAGGUAGGAAUACCCGCUGAACUUAA
rnacentral:rRNA from 1 species